CUGCUUAAUUGCGAUAACGAACGAGACCUUAACCUGUUAAAUAGCCAGGCUCGCUUUGGCGGGUCGCCGGCUUCUUAGAGGGACUAUCGGCUCAAGCCGAUGGAAGUUUGAGGCAAUAACAGGUCUGUGAUGCCCUUAGAUGUUCUGGGCCGCACGCGCGCUACACUGACAGAGCCAACGAGUUCUUUCCCUUGACCGAAAGGUCUGGGUAAUCUUGUUAAACUCUGUCGUGCUGGGGAUAGGGCAUUGCAAUC
rnacentral:rRNA from 1 species